rnacentral:tRNA from 1 species
GCCUCCGUGCGCAAUCGGCUAGCGUGUUCGGCUGUUAACCGAAGGGUUGGUGAUUCGAGCCCACCGGGGGCG